rnacentral:tRNA from 1 species
AUUAUUUAUUAAAUAUUAUAAUAUUUUUUAAAAUAAAAUAAAAACUAAUUUAUAAGUUAAUGAGCUUGAAUUAAGCAUAU